UCCUGAUGGAGAAACGAGAUGCUCUUGCCAGCCUUCCUAGCUCCUGUCUCAAGGCACAAAGGGAAUUGGAGCACGUCAAAGUAGCUGGGACUGGAUAGCACCUAUUCUCCAUGGAAAGUUCUUAGACACGCCCAGGCUGAGGCUAAGAAGAUUCGGCUCUAACUCAGUUUACAUCAGAGGGCUUCUCAGUGCAUUUGUAGAAAAUUAAACCUCAACAGGUGUCCUGUUGUAAGGCAGCUCAAAAAGCCCAUGGAAAAUUCCAACUACUGGCUCCUGUGACACCAAGCUCCCUUGUCCAUACUAUUUACAAGGUGACAAUGGACAUCAUUGUACCAGAUCAACAUAAGAUGUCAUCUGGAAAGAACAUUCUCAAUCUGCAGAUGACCCUCCCUGACACCAAAACAUGGCAAGUGUUGGAGCAGAGACUUUGAUCCUCUGAGACCUGACAAAUUAUGAAACUGUAAGAUAAUAAAUAACAGUAAAGUAGAAAUGUAUCUCAUUGGCUAGGGCUAUAGGUGAUAUAGAGUUCAAUGAGGAGAGACAAGAGGACAGUGUCCAAACCUGAGUUCCUGUGUGAGAUAUUUUUUAAUGGUAUCCAGUGACAUGUCCCCUGUUUCCUCCUCUCCCUUUCCUCUUCCAUCUUCUUAAUCAUGAUAGAGGCACAAUAAGGAUAUAAUAUUUUAUAUUAUAAGAUCUGAUUUUACUUGAGUCUG